UCCAGGGACUUUAAAGAUUUUCCACUGAUUUCUGGCUUUCAUUGUUGCAUCAAGAAGUUGGAUAAACCAUCGCUGAUUGCAAUGAGCUCUGUCUCCAAUUUUUGUGACAGGCAUCUGAGAAUUAUGGCACUAGCAUUUACCCUCUUGUUCACAUCAAACUGUUCCUUCUGUUCUUGGAAUAAUUCAGAAGAUAUGAUAUUUGAGCAAUGCAUGCUUAAAGGACAAAGGAAAUUUUUAUUGAUGUCAAUGGUAGUGACCUCUUGUUUUUGAAAGAAAGGCCUAACCCUUUAGACCAUCUCUAAAGCCAAUAUGGACACUGCUUUAAAGGCAAACAACAUGACUCAUUCAUUGAAUUGAGGAAUUUCAAAACUCACAUGGAUACUGAAAUUUUACCCCAAUUAUUUCAUAUUAUGUCUUAGGAAACUAAGUCUUCAAGAAAUUACAAUUUUCUCAAAGGCACACAGUUUAGUUGCUAGAAAUUUUAUUCUCUACAUGAUAAUAGAUUUAUGAAUACAUCAAUUUUACUGACAUUCCUUUUCUUCAGCACAAAUCAGUUUUGUGUGAAGUUGUUCAGUACAGAAAAUAUUCUAAUUUAGAGGUCGAUUUGGGAAAGGGGUAGAAAUACAUGUUUUCCAGCCUAUCGCUGCCAACAGCUUAAUGUGUCCAGUGAUGGGUAUGAGGCAGAGUCUGGUGUUCUUUCUCACAUAUUGACUCCUACUCAACCAUUUUUCUUAGUGUUUUUCAUGGACUUUCCCCAGGGAAAUGGAACAAUAGAUCACAGACCUUGGAAAAUUGUUUCUCACUCUUGUCAAUUUUCCUGCAUGAGUUUUUGAAAGAUAAAACAAAUCCUUGAUAAAACAGUACAUAUUUUUUCUUUUGCAACUUCAAGCUUUUCAUUUAGCACCAGUGUCUCUAUUUUCCUUGUAACCCAUGUCUUACAGAUCGUAGGUUCCUAAAUUUUAUGGGAAAAAAAGCCAAUCUUAUAAACUUCACACUGCGAACUAAUAAUUCAUGAUACGAAUGUUAGUGAUGUUUGUAUUUAAAAGACAGACUAGAUGAAGAAACUUUUUGUUUAAAUAGUAAAAUUUCAGAUGUUGGUGUCAGAAGGUGUUGGAUGAUGUGUGGAUAUAAUACAGAGCCAAAUGGGGUAGAGACUUGUAAUUUUUACCUCUCAUCACUACUGAAAAAUCACCAAAGCUGUUCAUUUCAGAGGUGAUCAUUUGAUCAUAGACUUGAAUAAGUUGCUGUGUUUCAGCUUUCUGUUAUAUUAUUUAAAAAGUUAUGAUGGCAAACAUCAUUUGAUAGAUCAGUUGAUAAAAUACCCAUCACUCUUCUUACCUUUUAAAUUUAGCAGACACUAAUUUAGAAUUGACUAAGUGCCAGGCACUUUUCCAAGUACUUUCCAAAUAUUAACUGUGUAGUUCUUAUUGAAAAUAAAGUUUUUUGAUAUAUGUCCUAUUAUUAACUCCAUCACAUAGAUGAAAAAACUGAGGUUAAAUAACGUUCUGGGUCAAACACAUGGUAGAUGAGUAUCAUCUUUCAAAGGUUUCUGAAGGCAAAUAAGUUCAUAAUUUAAAUACUAAAGCAAUUUUACAAAGAAAGAAAAAAAGAAAAAAAAGGAACUUAACAUUAUUUGGAAAGGAGAUGAGCAUAAUCCUGUAUGGUUUAGUCAUUUAUUAUGCCAGGACACCUAGAAUGAAAAGUGAGUGAGAUGAUUGGAGUAGCAUAUUUGGUGAGAUAUUCGCUUUCCCAGUAUAUUUCAGAAGCAUGGAAGCAGAUGUUUUCUGAGACUAGAAAUUCACUCAGGUAUUACAACAUAAUCUUGGAGUACAUGAAGUUCUCAUCACUGGGAGUAUUUGCAUAGAUACUAUUCUUCUAUAAUACAAGGGGACAUAAAGCCCAAAGGCUGUUUUUGAGGAAAUCCUUUUUGAGAGAUAAAUCACUGACUCUGAUCUUGAAGCACCUAAUUUCUUUCACAGUCACAUCUACUUACUUAUGGCAUGUAACCUAUUUUUUUUAAGAAACGAACUUUAAGAAACUUUACACUUUAAAAAUUGAAAGUUAUGAAAUAAGAAAAUAAAAUAAAGAUGUUUGAUAAGGUUUCUAUGAUUAGAAUUGCCAUGCAUUUAUUUUAAUCAUAGAAAAGUUAUUUUACUAACUGCUUUUGGCAUUUUUGGAUGAAUUAUAUUAAUUUCUCAUCAGAAUUUUUGAAUUGAAAAUAUGUCCUUAUUUCUCUGUUGUCAGAUAUUUUAAGAAAUAAUUUAAGAGGCUAAUUAAAGCACUUAAGUAACACUCGAUCACUUAGAAAAAAAAUAAGACACUGACAUUUGGAGGUAGUUGCAUUUUCGACACAUAAAGUUAACUUUAAAUCAAACUGUUUAAAUACUUUAUUUAAUCAUCAACAUAUGCCUGUUUGGUUACAUUUUAGCAUGAUUUUCCUUAUCUGAUUCUGAAGAUUUUUUCCUUUUAAACUGAUAAAAAUAGCUAAUAGUCUAUGAAACAAACUUAUGGUUACAGUAAAGAAAUUCUUAUAUACUUUUUACCUGGAUCACUUGGUGUUUACCUUUCUGACAUGGAUAAAAACACAUUAAUUUGAUUUUUACGUAAUGAAGUUUAUUCAGUAUUUAUUGAAAAUACCAUAACUAUCCCAUAAACACUGCUCUUACAAAGGGAAUGACAAAGGGGCUGCUUUGUUGUACAUUGUACAAACUGUUUCUCAUUGUCACUAGGGUUGAAUUAGUAGAAAAUGAUAUGGUAGAUACACAUAUAAAUGCCUUACAAAGAUUAAAUAGAUAUUAACAAUUUAUGCAUAA